rnacentral:rRNA from 1 species
UACCUGCAGCUCGAGUGGUGAUCGUUAUUAUUGGGCCUAAAACGUCCGUAGCCGGUCUUGUAUAUGCCUGGGUAAAUCGUAUGGCUCAACCAUACGAAUUCCGGGUAGACUGUUAGACUUGAGACCGGGAGAAGCUAGAGGUACUCCUGGGGUAGAGGUGAAAUUCUGUAAUCCUAGGGGGACCACCAGUGGCGAAGGCGUCUAGCUAGAACGGGUCUGACGGUGAGGGACGAAGCCCUGGGGCGCAAACGGGAUUAGAUACCCCGGUAGUCCAGGGUGUAAACGCUGCUUGCUUGAUGUUAGUCUGGCUCCGAGCCAGAUUAGUGUCGGAGAGAAGUUGUUAAGCAAGCUGCCUGGGAAGUACGGCCGCAAGACUGAAACUUAAAGGAAUUGGCGGGGAGCACAGCAACGGGUGGAGCGUGCGGUUU